GGUCGCGUAGUCUAGUGGUUAUGACGUUUCGUUUACAAUGGGAUUGCUGCCGAAAAGGUCCCCGGUUCGACCCCGGGCGUGACCA